GACAGAGGAUGCAAGCGUUAUCCGGAAUGAUUGGGCGUAAGCGUCUGUAGGUGGCUUUUCAAGUCCGCCGUUCAAAUCCCAGGGCUCAACCCUGGACAGGCGGUGGAAACUACCAAGCUGGAGUACGGUACGGGGCAGAGGGAAUUUCCGGUGGAGGCGGUGGAAAAUGGCAUUGAGAUCGGAAAGAACAACCAACGGCGAAAGCAGCUCU
rnacentral:rRNA from 1 species